GCACCUGAGUUUGACACCGUAGGAGGAUCAUUUUCCUAAAUAACUUUUACGAUUAUCUCAGAAAUUGACCCCAAAAUUGCAAUUUUAUGUUCGAAGUACUAAUUUUUGCUGUUUUAUGGAUUUUGCUCCUGAACCUGACAUCGUAGGAGAAACAUUCUUGCAGCAGAUUGGAUUUUGCACCUGAGUUUGACACCGUAGGAGGAUCAUUUUCCUAAAUAACUUUUACGAUUAUCUCACAAAAUGACCCCCAAAAUUGCAAUUUUAUGUUCGAAGUACUAAUUUUUGCUGUUUUAUGGAUUUUGCUCCUGAACCUGACAUCGUAGGAGAAACAUUCUUGCACCAGAUUGGAUUUUGCACCUGAGUUUGACACCGUAGGAGGAUCAUU